CCUACGGGAGGCAGCAGUGAGGAAUAUUGGUCAAUGGGCUUACGCCUGAACCAGCCAAGUCGCGUGAGGGAAGACUGCCCUAUGGGUUGUAAACCUCUUUUGUCAGGGAGCAAUUGGCGCUACGUGUAGCGUUAUCGAGAGUACCUGAAGAAAAAGCAUCGGCAAACUCCGUGCCAGCAGCCGCGGUAAUACGGAGGAUGCGAGGGUCAUCCGGAUUCAUUGGGUUUAAAGGGUGCGUAGGCGGAAUGCCAAGUCAGCGGUAAAAUCGCGGGGCUCAACCGCGCUCCGCCGUUGAAACUGGCGUUCUUGAGUGGGCGAGAGGUAUGCGGAAUGCGUGGUGUAGCGGUGAAAUGCAUAGAUAUCACGCAGAACACCGAUGGCGAAGGCAGCAUACCGGCGCCCAACUGACGCUGAGGCACGAAAGCGUGGGUAUCGAACAGGAGUAGAUACCCCAGUAGUC
rnacentral:rRNA from 1 species